GAGACUUUUGUACUGGAGCUAACUCUGGUCUGGUUUCUCAUAGAUAUCCACCUGCUGCUUCUGUUGAAAUGGCACAAACUUAAGGAAAUCGAACUGUUAUUAUACCU
rnacentral:lncRNA from 1 species